ensembl:lncRNA
AUGAGUGACAAAAAACAGCUUUUCUCAGCCUGAGUGUGAAGUUCCUCUUCUUUUUUCUCCCAGGCUGCAGGUAGAGCAGCGUGUGUGAAUCACAGUGUGCGGCGGCGGCGGCGGUGCAGCUCCUCUGUUGUUUAGAAGGAGGUCGGGGAGAGAAGGUGACAUCAUCUCUACACCUGAGGCGGCGGAGCUGACACCUCCAGCUCUCAGACAGCCAGACGCGGCGGCUGAAAGUCACCGACUCAGCCGUUUAGCGAGCAGGUGCUGGCUGCUGACAGAUGGAGGCGGGACAUUUGAUGGUCGCCAUCGAUGCCAGCUGGAGACUGAUGUCCUGUCUGAGCGGCGUGAUGGACGGCUGUUUGUACCCCAAACAUUCCUGUAAUCCACGGCUCACCUGUCCGACAGGUCCUGAGAGGUGACUCUUACCUGAGAGUGUGUGUGUGUGUGUGUGUGUGUGUGUGUGUGUGUGUGUGUGUGUGUGUGUGUGUGUGUGUGUGUGUGUGUGUGUGUGUGUGUGUGUGUGUUUUUUCACAGAUAUAUUAUUUUCCUUCCUAAUGUUUUUCUUCCUCCUGAUGAUUAGAACCAAGCUGAGUUCUGGACACUGACUCUUUUGAUCAGCUCCAGCUCAGAAACAUUCAAAGCUCAAGCUCUGGACUGACCUGUCGAGCCCUGUGUGUGUCUGUGUCACACAGAUGAACACAUGCAGACAGGAAGGAUGUAAAGGUCAAAGGUCUCAUGAGCUGUAGCACGUGUGGAUCCAGGAGCCGCGGGGAGGCCGCGGGUUCGCAGCUGCUGAAGGCCGCAGGACAAGCGGACACCGCGGGCGGAGAGCCGCUGCGGCCGCCGGAGGAUCCAGGAGAGAGGCCGCUGCUUCAGCCUGGAUGGGGUCAUUUAUGGAGGUAUGUUUAUGAAAAGAGUAAAAAACUAAAACAUGCUGAAUAAAUAAAGGCUGUAGCUCCGGUAAUCUAAUCUAAUCUAAUUCAGCAGGAUUAAAUGAGUUAAAUAAUCUGCUUGAGUUACGGAUUCAUGAUUUAAAAUUUAACACAUUAAAACGGAGAUUAUUAAUUCAAAACAAGUUAAAUAAAUUAUUAUAUAUUUUUAAACUUUGAUGAACA